CAUGCCAUUGAAGGAUUCCCAUAUUAUAUAUCAAUCUAGUCCACUUUUUUUCAUUCAAAAUCUUGUAGCUCGACUCCAAGAGUCCAUGGCAUCCACCUAUAUGCAUGCACCACCCAUUAGCUCCUUCACAUUCUAACCAUCCGAAAGUUGAUCUUGUUCUGAGGCUUUUUUUCUUCAUGACAACACUAACAGCUCUCACAGUAGCAGUCACAAGCAAGCAAACCAAAGUAAGUUCUGUCCCACCAUCACCAUUCCCUAUGACAGUAAAGGCUAAGUACAAUCAACUUGCAGCCCUCAGGUAUCACACAAAUUUCCAAAUUUUCUCCACUGGUUUUAUUUGAUUAUUUGAUUAUGUUCUCAAUGUUUGCUAAUGAGUGCAAAUGUUUUGUGGUGGUGAUGUCUCUUGCUUGCUUAUGCACUGUUCUUACAGUGGCAGUUUCUGCUGUCUCCAACUCAAACCAAAUCCCAAGUUGAAGAUCUUGUUUCAGUUAAUGUUCAUGGAUUUGGUAAGGAAGCCUAGAAACAGUAGUAGCAUAAGGAUUUAUCUUUCCAUCUCUUAUUGA
rnacentral:lncRNA from 1 species